GAUUGAACGCUGGCGGCAGGCCUAACACAUGCAAGUCGAGCGGAUGAAGGGAGCUUGCUCCUGGAUUCAGCGGCGGACGGGUGAGUAAUGCCUAGGAAUCUGCCUGGUAGUGGGGGAUAACGUCCGGAAACGGGCGCUAAUACCGCAUACGUCCUGAGGGAGAAAGUGGGGGAUCUUCGGACCUCACGCUAUCAGAUGAGCCUAGGUCGGAUUAGCUAGUUGGUGGGGUAAAGGCCUACCAAGGCGACGAUCCGUAACUGGUCUGAGAGGAUGAUCAGUCACACUGGAACUGAGACACGGUCCAGACUCCUACGGGAGGCAGCAGUGGGGAAUAUUGGACAAUGGGCGAAAGCCUGAUCCAGCCAUGCCGCGUGUGUGAAGAAGGUCUUCGGAUUGUAAAGCACUUUAAGUUGGGAGGAAGGGCAGUAAGUUAAUACCUUGCUGUUUUGACGUUACCAACAGAAUAGGCACCGGCUAACUUCGUG
rnacentral:rRNA from 1 species